AUUUCUCAGUCAUACUUUACUGCAUUUUAUGGGGGAAAUUAUGUGGUAGUCUCUAAUCCACGGAUUCAUGAAGGGCUAUGAUGUAUCCCUUGAGAAUGUCAAGGGCCUACUGUACCUCUGUCACUAUGGAAACUAGUUCCCUGGUAGCAAUUAGGCUUAGCAACAUCCACAAUGGUGCAAUGCACAUGGAUUCUGGCUCUGGUAAUGGACAGGGAGCAGUCCCUGGAGACAGGGCCACACUUACCCUAAUGACAGUCUCCGGGGUCUUCAUCCAGCCUGAGCACCCUGCAUGGAGCCCGGCCUGAAGUGCUCCAGCUCAGAGGAGGAGGAGGGAGAGGGAUGGCUCAGGGGACUGAGCUGGAAAAAAAAAGGCCUCAGAAGGGAAAUGGAGGCCCAGAAAGCUUUGGUGAGCAGCUCGAGAUUACAUAGGACAUGGAGACCAGAACUCAUGUUUCCUCAAAUAGUUCAUUUCCAGGGGGCUUUUAGGCUAUUAAUUCUAUAAUCUGCCCUCUGUCUGCCUCAGGGACUCUCCCCUCCAACCCCCAUUUGGACCAUGAACUGAUGCCAAUGGCACCAAGGAAGCAUCAACUGAUACUGGGCAGAAGGGCAGGGCAGUGGCCCCUGGGAGUCUUCAUGGCUCCUCUGGCAGAAAGUACCUGGAGGCAUCAGCUCAUGGACCUGGAGCAUAUCAGCAAGGAACAGAGAUAAACUGUACCGCAUCACCACCCUGGCACUACUCAUGAGAAACUUUCCCAACCAUUAUGCUUGGUUGACUUGGCCGGAAAGGAGUUAACACACAACAUGUGAGGAGUACACUGAGUAGGGAGCUGUGUUCUUGGGUGACCUGUGGGUAUCUGGGCCCAUUUAAUGCACCAAGUCUUCAAAUAGUGGCAGCCAUCACAGGCUCUUCUGUCUGCUUGUGCAUGCACAUGGGGAUCCUUCACUUGGUGGCUUCUCCCCAAGCAAACGUUUUUAGCCCAUCCUGGAUUCUCCUCACUGCCCUCUCUACCCUGGGAAAUGCAACCCACAUUGUCCAAGUCAGACCUAAUUAGACCAGCAAAUCAGUGGCACUCAAGUCAUCACAGCACACUCCAAGCACAAGAGGAAAUGCUGUGUAGGUUAUCCUGUGCGCUGCUUGUUGUGUCUGUUUGUGUUUCCUUGGAUUAUCCAUUCUCUGCUCCCUGCCUUCCAUUACCUCACUAAUGGAGAGGCAGGAUGCAGUCCUCCACAGGCCAGCAUUCAUCUUCCCAGUCUGACCCUCUCGGAGGCUAUUACGCUGCUGUCGCAAGAUCGACGAGGGGAGAAAAAUGAAAACAGUGCACAGGGAACAAUGGAGGGCAAAUGGGACUCUUUUAGAACCGGAUCCACUGAUACGUCAGGCCAAGGAGAAAUGACCACAAGCUCUGAAAAGUGGAGAGCUCCCCCAGACGGCAAAGCCAGCUGCCCCGGCACCUCUGCACAGUCCUUUUCUGAAUCUGCCCCUCACCGUGCUCCCCACCUGCACGCCGUCCUCAGAACAGAUUGCCUUGCCUGACCUCCUGAGGCCGACGGAGAUGGUGAUGUGACCUCCUUUGCCCUCCAUCACUGUGCCUCCCACACCUCUGCGCAGCUCGUUCAUUCUCUCUCCCUCCACUCUGACUUAAGGGAAGAGGAAUUUUAAAACCAACCUCAUCCCUUCCCACCUCCUCAGGAAACUCACUCCUUUGCUUACCCUCUCUCCACUUUUAAAAAUAACGAUAUAAAUGCCCCUUUCGCCUGUGAUUCCUUCUGAGCACAGACCCUUCUUGCUUAAGCCCCUGUGAGUUAAUUUUCAGUCUCACAGCUCUUCUCAAUCCAACAGUAUUUUUGCAGCUUUCAGCCUCGGGAAGCUCUUGAUGGGCUCGUCUGCCACGCUACCAACUUCCUUCUUGGAAGUCCCUCCCCGUCUUCUGCGUCUGCCUUGUGCCCAUUCUCCCUCUGGGGUCAGUCCUCUGCCGUCCGGCAGGCCCAUCCUCCACUCCCCAUUAUGGUCCCUCUUUACAGCCUCAUCUGGUCUCUCAUUACACUCUGCAGUAGCCUGAUGGUCAGCUCUUUAAUCAAAUCCCAUUCAGUUCCCUAAAGUACCAAAGUUCCCCAUGAGUCCCUAGAACAGUGUCCUAAAUCAGACACGUCACCCUCUCUACCCCAAUACUGGCCCCACUUCC
rnacentral:lncRNA from 1 species